rfam:Archaeon Heimdall LC_3 HeimC3_contig000048, whole genome shotgun sequence.
UUAUCUGAUUCAAAAAUUCCUGACGCUCAAGCAGGAUUAGAAACUAAUAUGGGAGCAUUACUAGCAGGACUAACAGGAAUAAAUAUGAUUUCAGGAGUUG